AAGUACCGUAUAACGUCCGGCACAUAAACGGCCCAUUUUUAUUCCACCACAAGGUACUGCAUAUAAGCGGCCCUUCAAUCGCCAUUAAGCGUGACAAAUUCUGCGGUGACGGAUUGGGCCCGCUAUAUGCGGCCGCGAGCGGUCGCAACGCUUAUAUGGAGCCCGAGGCGGAAAUGGCUCGAGCGGACGCAACGCUUAUAUGGGGCCCGACGCGAAAAGCGGACGCAACGCUUAUAUACAGAGCCCCGCCUCCCUGACCUUCGCCUGUGUGAAAAGCCACAAAUACGUUUUAUUUUAAUAAAAAUUAUGGCCUGUAGCAUAUCACGACACUGCUGCCACCUACAUUAUUUUUGGUUUAGACUGUAAGCUAACAGUUGCAACAGGUCUCGUACUGCCGGAGCACCACCAGCUUCCCGUGAACACAUGUGUGCCGCGCUUACAUGUUUAUCGUGUAUUGUGUGCGUUUAUUGCGUGCUUAUCGUACGCGACAUUCGUCGACUGGGCAUUUUCCGCGUGUUGGGGCGUUCUCCUGCCUUGAUCCAGUGGCGGAUGAUGGUCGUUGUUCGUUGCCGCUCAACACAGCCUCACGGGACGCGCAGCUUUGUGUCCGCGCUCAAAAGUGCUUUCUUGCUUCGUUCAUCGAUUACUCACGUUGAUCGAGUGAUCGAGUGUACUUCCGAAGACAAUCCGCGUCCGAGUGUUUUGACAAGCGGCGACCGCGGUUCCACAGGAGCGGAAGCUUGAGCCUUUUGACGAGCGACUGUGAAGAGUGCCAAUGCCAAACUUGGGAACCGUCGUGUUGGCACAGCGAGGAUGAUCAACCAGAUACCCGAUAGGCAGCGAUGAGAGCUGUUCAUGGCACCGACACAGAGGACAGGUUGCAGUACAAGAUAGGAGCAUACUUCCUGCAAGCCCGGGCAAGCCAUAAUGAGUGGUUUCAAAUACAGCAACUGUACCACCACAACAGUGCAGCACAGGAGAGCCUAUCAUCAGUGCCGCGUCGAGAAAUUAAAUAAAAAAGCGCUUACUCCUGGAA